AGGAAACCUAUAUUAAUAGGAAUCUUUACGAGGUAUCCUCACUAUACAGGACUCUAUCAAUAUGAUAUUUAUAACAAGAUGUAUCAACUAAAAUUUUCUUUUUACUACUUUAAUUGGUUUUGUUCAACUUUAGAUUGAGAAAAUUUAUAGUUCGGUUGCAAUUUCAUUAUAGCCUAAGGAUUUAGUUGCUUAUUCGAUUAAUCAGCAUACACAAGAUGAUUUUGUCCCUUUUCCCAUUAUAUGUUCAAAGAAUGAAGAUAACAUUCAUAAAUGCAAUAUGAGAUAAGCUUAGUUUUACUCCAACCAGAAGUUGGAAGUUAUUGAGUGUAUGCCAUUAUUAAGAAUGAAGGCCAACUCUGGAACCUUUGAAACUGACAGUCCCAUCACCUUUCAUUCAGUAAACAAUACCACCAGAUACUAAGUUUUAUUCAACCAAUUAUAGUGCUAAUAGGAUGCCGUCUU
rnacentral:misc_RNA from 1 species